rnacentral:rRNA from 1 species
AGUCUUUUGAGGUGUUAUAAAAGAUGGUUUCUGCUCAGUGUUUAAGUAAACAGCCGCGGUAAUUUGACCGUGCAAAGGUAGCAUAAUUAUUUGCCCUGUAAUUGAGGGCUAGAAUGAAUGGGAGAACAAAAUGUCUGCUUUAUUUUUAAGAAAAAAAGAAUUUUCUUUUUUAGUGAAGAAGCUAAAAUUGUUGUGAGGGACAAGAAGACCCUUUUGAGCUUUAGUAAUUAUAUUUUUCUUAAAUGUCAUUACUUUGGUUGGGGCGACCAAGGAAGAAAAGAUCUUCUUUUUAGAACGUUGAUCCGGGGGUUUCGAUAAAUGAACUAAGCUACCAAAGGGAUAACAGCGUAAUUUUUUUUGUGAGUUCUUAUUUAAAAAAAAGAUUGCGACCUCGAUGUUGACUUAUGAUUUCCUGUUGGUGUAGAAGCUAUUAGGGUGGGUCUGUCCGACCUUUAAAACCUU